UUGUUGCCUCGGCGGAUCAGCCCGCUCCCGGUAAAACGGGACGGCCCGCCAGAGGACCCCUAAACUCUGUUUCUAUAUGUAACUUCUGAGUAAAACCAUAAAUAAAUCAAAACUUUCAACAACGGAUCUCUUGGUUCUGGCAUCGAUGAAGAACGCAGCAAAAUGCGAUAAGUAAUGUGAAUUGCAGAAUUCAGUGAAUCAUCGAAUCUUUGAACGCACAUUGCGCCCGCCAGUAUUCUGGCGGGCAUGCCUGUUCGAGCGUCAUUUCAACCCUCAAGCACAGCUUGGUGUUGGGACUCGCGUUAAUUCGCGUUCCUCAAAUUGAUUGGCGGUCACGUCGAGCUUCCAUAGCGUAGUAGUAAAACCCUCGUUACUGGUAAUCGUCGCGGCCACGCCGUUAAACCCCAACUUCUGAAUGUUGACCUCGGAUCAGGUAGGAAUACCCGCUGAACUUAAGCAUAUCAAA
rnacentral:rRNA from 1 species